AUUGAACGCUGGCGGCAGGCCUAACACAUGCAAGUCGAACGGAAGCACAGAGAGCUUGCUCUCGGGUGACGAGUGGCGGACGGGUGAGUAAUGUCUGGGAAACUGCCCGAUGGAGGGGGAUAACUACUGGAAACGGUAGCUAAUACCGCAUAACGUCGCAAGACCAAAGUGGGGGACCUUCGGGCCUCACACCAUCGGAUGUGCCCAGAUGGGAUUAGCUAGUAGGUGGGGUAAUGGCUCACCUAGGCGACGAUCCCGAGCUGGUCUGAGAGGAUGACCAGCCACGCUGGAACGGAGACAAGGUCCAGACGCCUACGGGAGGCGGCAGUGGGGAAUAUUGCACAAUGGGCGCAAGCCUGGUGCAGCCAUGCCGCGUGUAUGAAGAAGGCCUUCGGGUUGUAAAGUACUUUCAGCGGGGAGGAAGGCGGUGAAGUUAAUAACUUCACCGAUUGACGUUACCCGCAGAAGAAGCACCGGCUAACUCCGUGCCAGCCGCCGCCGUAA
rnacentral:rRNA from 1 species